CCCUUAGAUGUUCGGGGCCGCACGCGCGCUACACUGAAGGAAUCAGCACGUCUUUCUCCUUGUCCGAAAGGACUGGGUAACCCGCUGAACCUCCUUCGUGCUAGGGAUUGGGGCUUGUAAUUCUUCCCCAUGAACGAGGAAUUCCCAGUAAGCGCGAGUCAUAAGCUCGCGUUGAUUACGUCCCUGCCCUUUGUACACACCGCCCGUUGCUACUACCGAUUGGAUGGUUUAGUGAGAUCCUCGGAUUGGUCCCGGCGCGGCCUCUGGUCGUGCCGGAGUGCCGAAAAGAAUGUCGAACUUGAUCAUCUAGAGGAAGUAAAAGUCGUAACA
rnacentral:rRNA from 1 species